ACUGCUUUUGGUGGUUUCAAGAGCCGUUCACAGGUGCCUUGGCUUGUAGACAAAUACAUGAAAAAGGAAAUUAAGGUGGAUGAGUACAUCACCCAUAAUUUGACUCUUGGGGAGAUCAACAAGGCAUUUGAUCUGAUGCAUGAAGGUGGUUGCCUCCGGUGUGUGCUUAGUACGCAUGUGUAAGGUUAUUGUCUAUUAAGGACUGCUCAAUUGUCAUCUGUCUAAGGUUAUCUGUUAAAGCCUCCCUCAAGUGUUUUGUGGAACAGAAUGCUUCAAUUUCC
rnacentral:misc_RNA from 1 species